CAGCCCUCGCGACGCGAGCGGCCCUGCGCUGCGACCGAGACCCCAGGUCAGGCGGGACUACCCGCUGAGUUUAAGCAUAUCAAUAAGCGGAGGAA
rnacentral:rRNA from 1 species